rnacentral:lncRNA from 1 species
UUCAUUCUGCAUUCUUCAGAAAAACACACUCACCUAAAAGAAGAGCUGAAAAUACUUUUUUUCUGGAUUAAAGAGUAGAAUUCCAGACUGGACACCAAAAACUUUCAAAAAAGAAACCAAAAAAAAACUCUAAAACCCAAAGAAAAUAGUAGAGUUGUAGGUCAAUUACAUAUUUCUAGGUCAAUUACAUACUCCAAAAAAUUCAAAGCUAUAGUUGUUUCAAAAGGUGUAUUUUUUUCCUGUGUUUUUGGAUUCUUCAAGGAUUGUUCUGAUUCGAUUUCUGCUGAUUGUUGCUUGUUGAUUCAAUUGUAUUUCUGGUUUCAUAUUGUUCUUCUUAUAACUUGCAUUUCCAGGUACUUUUUCUUCUGAUUUUGGGUUAUUUGAAUAAGAUCUAUUAGAACUAUAGUUAUGUGUUUGAGUUUAACUAGUUAUUUGUUUUAGCUUAAGUGAUUGAUAUCUCUUUGAAUUGCAUGUCUAUAAUUACUUAUGUCCCUCGAAGCCUGAACUUUGUUUGUAGUAUGUACAGAUGUUCAGUUGUUGGUUUGUUUAGCCUAAAGCGAUGAACCGACCUGGAUGUUUACUUUCGAUCAUUGUUAACCUUUUAAAAUCUUGUUUUCUUUUUUAUAUUUAUUAAUGAAAAUCCUCAUCUAUUCAUUUGGGCUGAAAGGAUGAUCGAAACCGGAAAGUUAACAGAUAUUAUGUGAGCAAAAUUUAGUAGUUCUACAAAGCUAGAUUUAAAAAAGUUUGUCUGAUGGUUUAUGGUUUGUAAUAAAAUGUUCUUGGUGCUUCGAUAGUCAUAUUUGUAAUUGUUACAAUUGUUUGCAUUUUUGUUAUUUCUGUGACUUGAAUGGAAACGUAAAACUAAAAAAAGGAUAAUGAUUUUCUUUUGUUUAUUAUUGACUUCCUCCAGUUGUUUGCUUGUAAGUAGAAGUGAAUCUGUUAAUUCGCAAAGUGGCUAUUUGGUGAAGGGCCUGCAAUUUUCUUUGCUUUUUCACCAUGUUGUUGUCAGUUAAAAAAUUAGAAUUUUUUACCUCCUAUAGCAAGCGUUAAUAUCUUAUUUAUUUUAAAUAAAUAGCAUUUAAAAAAAUAUAUUCUCUAGAUACCUUUUAAUGUUUAUAGCAGAAUAUUUAAUUUUAGUUACCUCCUACCCAUAAACAACUAAAUACGCUAUUCAGUUACACUAUUUUCUUUCUCUUUCUACUUUGAUAUAUGACAUUCUCUUCCCACAUCCCUGAAAACACAACUGAGGGCUCCGCCCGCCGCCACUCUCAUGGCAUUUGUCGCUGUCGCCUGGAUUCGCCGGAUCCGCCAUCAUUCACUCUAUCGAAACCCUAACUAACUCACAAAGUUUCUUUUUCUGGCAAAAGGGAGUUUUUUGGGAAAAGCUCACAUAUUAGUUUGCUGCAACAACAUAUUCUUUAUUGUGUUGUGAAAAGGAUUUGUGCUGACUCUGCUCACAAGAGAACAAAGGCACUUGAUUGAAUACAAAGGGUUAGAAGCAACUUGAUUUUCUGUUAAGAAGGACCCUUUGUAUUUGAUCAAAUACGAAGGGCCUUUUUGGUGAGAUUCAGGGUUUUUUUCGAC